rnacentral:rRNA from 1 species
GCAAGGACAUGUGGAGCGCUUAGAAGUGAGAAUGCCGGUGUGAGUAGCGAAAGACGGGUGAGAAUCCCGUCCACCGAUUGACUAAGGUUUCCAGAGGAAGGCUCGUCCGCUCUGGGUUAGUCGGGUCCUAAGCUGAGGCCGACAGGCGUAGGCGAUGGAUAACAGGUUGAUAUUCCUGUACCACCAUUAUUCGUUUUAAGCGAUGGGGGGACGCAGUAGGAUAGGCGAAGCGUGCUGUUGGAGUGCACGUCCAAGCAGUGAGAUUGAGUGUUAGGCAAAUCCGGCACUCUUAAGGUUGAGCUGUGAUGGGGAGAGGAACUUGUUCCUCGAGUCGUUGAUUUCACACUGCCGAGAAAAGCCUCUAGCUAGAAUAACGGUGCCCGUACCGCAAACCGACACAGGUAGUCAAGAUGAGAAUUCUAAGGUGAGCGAGCGAACUCUCGUUAAGGAACUCGGCAAAAUGACCCCGUAACUUCGGGAGAAGGGGUGCUCUUUGAGGUUCACGCUUCGAAGAGCCGCAGUGAAUAGGCCCAAGCGACUGUUUAUCAAAAACACAGGUCUCUGCUAAACCGUAAGGUGACGUAUAGGGGCUGACGCCUGCCCGGUGCUGGAAGGUUAAGAGGAGUGGUUAGCGCAAGCGAAGCUACGAAUCGAAGCCCCAGUAAACGGCGGCCGUAACUAUAACGGUCCUAAGGUAGCGAAAUUCCUUGUCGGGUAAGUUCCGACCCGCACGAAAGGCGUAACGAUUUGGGCACUGUCUCAACGAGAGACUCGGUGAAAUCAUAGUACCGGUGAAGAUGCCGGUUACCCGCGACAGGACGGAAAGACCCCGUGGAGCUUUACUGUAGCCUGAUAUUGAAAUUCGGUACAGUUUGUACAGGAUAGGUAGGAGCCUUAGAAGCGUGAGCGCUAGCUUACGUGGAGGCAUUGGUGGGAUACUACCCUAAUUGUAUUGGAUUUCUAACCCGCAGCACUUAUCGUGCUGGGAGACAGUGUCAGGCGGGCAGUUUGACUGGGGCGGUCGCCUCCUAAAGAGUAACGGAGGCGCUCAAAGGUUCCCUCAGAAUGGUUGGAAAUCAUUCAUAGAGUGUAAAGGCAUAAGGGAGCUUGACUGCGAGACCUACAAGUCGAGCAGGGUCGAAAGACGGACUUAGUGAUCCGGUGGUUCCGCAUGGAAGGGCCAUCGCUCAACGGAUAAAAGCUACCCCGGGGAUAACAGGCUUAUCUCCCCCAAGAGUUCACAUCGACGGGGAGGUUUGGCACCUCGAUGUCGGCUCAUCGCAUCCUGGGGCUGUAGUCGGUCCCAAGGGUUGGGCUGUUCGCCCAUUAAAGCGGUACGCGAGCUGGGUUCAGAACGUCGUGAGACAGUUCGGUCCCUAUCCGUCGUGGGCGUAGGAAAUUUGAGAGGAGCUGUCCUUAGUACGAGAGGACCGGGAUGGACAUACCUCUGGUGUACCAGUUGUCGUGCCAACGGCAUAGCUGGGUAGCUAUGUAUGGACGGGAUAAGUGCUGAAAGCAUCUAAGCAUGAAGCCCCCCUCGAGAUGAGAUUUCCCAACUUC